ensembl:misc_RNA 7SK 7SK RNA
GAGAUGAGAGGAAUAUGCCUGCCACAUCUGUCACACCAUCCAUCAGUCACUCGCUAGGUGGGUGUCUCCUCCUUCACUACUUCAUGUGUGUCCUUCCAGAAGCCGGGCACUGUGUCAGAGAGGAGACCUUUCCCAACAGAGGAAGACUGUGUCAGCUGUUGGGUAUAUAAGUAGCUGGAUUCCCUGGCUAGAAUUCUCAAGAAAGCUCUCAAGAAAGUUCAAAGAAUUAGGUAUAAUUGAGAAGAAAAAAUAAG